rnacentral:rRNA from 1 species
UACGAAGGGUCCAAGCGUUAUCCGGAUUUAUUGGGUUUAAAGGGUGCGUAGGCGGUUAAUUAAGUCAGUGGUGAAAGACUUCAGCUUAACUGAAGAACUGCCAUUGAUACUGAUGAGCUUGAAUGUAGUUGAGGUGGGCGGAAUGUGUCAUGUAGCGGUGAAAUGCUUAGAUAUGACACAGAACACCGAUUGCGAAGGCAGCUCGCUAAACUAUGAUUGACGCUGAUGCACGAAAGCGUGGGGAGCAAACAGG